AAAUUUUAUGUGACCAAAUAAUAUAGAAUAGCCACACGUAUGUAUCUAAACUUUUAAUAAUUUUCAUAACUAUUCCCACCUCUUACCAGUUCCUGGUUCCAAUUCGAGAAGAUCAGAUCGACUAUGUGAAUCCCUUUUAUCUAUGUGAUUAGCGUUAGUUUCUCAAACAUGUAUGUGUCAUUUUCUAUUCCCUCCGUACCAGAGAUGAGUUCGGCUUCCAAAUUGUUCGAUUAUAAGAGUUUUAGAUCUGCAGAAUUGAGUUCGAGUGAAGCAAAUCUGAGGUGAAUUUCCGGUGAUCCUGCCUCGUAUUGCGACCAGAAAAGGCACCACACUGAGGACAGUGAUGUUAACUCUUUUAGGGACUCAAGUAGUGAUGUAAGCAGUGAUUACAACCUCCCAAAGAGUGAAUUUUUUCAGUGGUUGGAUCAGUUGUCGUUAAAUUACCAACACGUCCUUCAAGAAGGCUUCUCUAGUGAUGAGGGUGAAUCAGUAAGACUACAAAGUUGUCUUUCAUUUGAGUAUUUGGAGUGUAAUCAACCUUGGGGUCGGGAACCUUUGAUUGAUUAGGUUUGUUAUAAAAAAGUGUCUAAUAAAGUUCUGUUAUGUGAUUUUUCUGAUUUAUAUUAAUUCUACACUAAUCUGUUGCAUAGAUACUUGAUCUUGUGCGUCGCUUCAUAGACUUGAAAAGCGUGAAAAGUUGUGACUUGUUUUCUUCUAGUUGGUUAUCUGUGGCUUGGUACAAUCUUUGUGACAUCUGUUAUUUUAUGUUUUUUUUAUUGUAUUCACGACAUAUUAUUUUGAUGAUUAAAUAGGUACCCAAUUUAUAGGAGUCCAAUGGGACCAACAUUGAAAGAUCUUAAUGCUGUUUUUUACCUUUCAUUCUCUUCAUACACCAAUCACAGGCUAUGGAUAUUUUCACAACCUCUUCGGCUAAGAGCAUUCGGUUGAAGGUGGCUGGGUUUGGCGGGGCGAAACGGACCUGCAGAAGUAUCAUUGGAACAACUGGGUCACUCGUAAAGUGAACUACCUAACAUGGAGGGCUGUGUUGGGGACGGGGUGUAUCGCUACUAAAGAAGCUUUGACGUGAAGAGGUUUGGCUUUAGAUAACACUCUUUGCGGCAGGUGUGAGCUGGUAAUUGAAGAUGUGAAUCACAUUUUUGUCGAUUGUUUAUCGGCUAGAAGUGUGUGGUGGCAAAUCUGUAGAUGGACUAAGGAUCAACCACAUUAUUUGUCACCUAUAUUAUAUAUUUAUAUCGAGUGGAAUUGCUUAAUGUUUUACUUGCUUCGUAAAAGUUGCAGUAUAAGCUUUUUCACUAGUAUAAGAAUGUUUUCACUAAUAAAAGAUAAAUUAUCAGCAUUCAUUUGUUAAGAUAUAUUUAUACAUAUGAUAGUUUAAGUGAGAAAUAAAUAUAUCAAUGUUAAAGUUUGUU